CCAACGGCUCUUUUCAGAGCCACCACUUCUUCCGGAGAGAGCUG
rfam:Tupaia chinensis contig173109, whole genome shotgun sequence.